rnacentral:rRNA from 1 species
CAGGGCGGGGUGCUAUAAUGCAAGUCGAACGCGAAGCCUUGGGAAACUGAGGUGGAGAGUGGCGGACGGGUGAGUAACACAUGGCUGACCUGCCCUUCAGAGGGGGACAACUGCUGGAAACGGCAGCUAAUACCCCAUACGCUCGCGAGGAUUAGAAGCUCGUGAGGAAAGGUUGAGGCGCUGAAGGAGGGGGCUGUGGCCCAUCAGCUAGUUGGUAGGGUAACGGCCUACCAAGGCGAGGACGGGUAGGGGGCCUGAGAGGGUGGUCCCCCACACGGGCACUGAGACACGGGCCCGACUCCUACGGGAGGCAGCAGUAAGGGAUAUUGCGACAAUGGGCGAAAGCCUGACACAGCAACGCCGCGUGCGGGAUGACGGCCUUCGGGUUGUAAACCGCUUUUCAGGGGGAAGAGGAAGGACGGUACCCCUGGAAUAAGUCUCGGCUAACUACGUGCCAGCAGCCGCGGUAAAACGUAGGAGGCGAGCGUUAUCCGGAUUUACUGGGUGUAAAGCGCGUGCAGGCGGUCUGGGAAGUGGUGCGUGAAAGCGCCCGGCUCAACCGGGCGAGGCCGUGCCAAACUGCCAGGCUUGAGGUAGGUAGAGGCGUGUGGAAUUCCGGGUGUAGUGGUGAAAUGCGUAGAGAUCCGGAGGAACACCAGUGGCGAAGGCGACACGCUGGGCCUGACCUGACGCUCAGACGCGAAAGCAUGGGGAGCGAACGGGAUUAGAAACCCCGGUAGUCCAUGCCGUAAACGAUGUCGACUAGGGUGGUGGGGGGUGUAACAGCCUCUGUGCCGCAGCCCAACGUGAUAAGUCGACC